AGGGAUAUAGCUCAGUGGCACAGAUUCUGCCUGGUAAGCACAAGGUCUUAGGUUCAAUUCCCAGUAUCCCAC
rnacentral:tRNA from 1 species